rnacentral:rRNA from 1 species
CCUACGGGUGGCAGCAGUGGGGAAUAUUGGGCAAUGGGCGCAAGCCUGACCCAGCAACGCCGCGUGUAUGAAGAAGGCUUUCGGGUUGUAAACUUCUUUUGUCAGGGAGGAGUAGAAGACGGUACCUGACGAAUAAGCCACGGCUAACUACGUGCCAGCAGCCGCGGUAAUACGUAGGGGGCAACCGUUGUCCGGAUUUACUGGGGGUAAAGGGCGUGUAGCCGGGUUGACAAGUCAGAUGUGAAAUCCUUCGGCUUAACCGCAGAACUGCAUUUGAAACUGUUGAGCUUGAGUACUGGAGAGGCAGACGGAAUUCCUAGGGGAGCGGUGAAAUGCGUAGAGAUUAGGAGGAACACCAGUGGCGAAGGCGGUCUGCUGGACAGCAACUGACGGUGAGGCGCGAAAGCGUGGGGAGCAAACAGGAUUAGAUACCCGUGUAGUC